UUUUAUCAGAGAGUUUGAUCCUGGCUCAGGAUGAACGCUGGCGGCGUGCUUAACACAUGCAAGUCGAACGGGAAACCUUUUAUUGAAGCUUCGGCAGAUUUAGAUUGUUUCUAGUGGCGGACGGGUGAGUAACGCGUGGGUAACCUGCCUUAUACAGGGGGAUAACAGUCAGAAAUGACUGCUAAUACCGCAUAAGCGCACAGAGCUGCAUGGCUCGGUGUGAAAAACUCCGGUGGUAUAAGAUGGACCCGCGUUGGAUUAGCUAGUUGG
rnacentral:rRNA from 1 species